rnacentral:rRNA from 1 species
UGGUUAGCGGCGGACGGGUGAGUAACACGUAGGCAACCUGCCUGCAAGACCGGGAUAACCCACGGAAACGUGAGCUAAUACCGGAUAUCUCAUUUCCUCUCCUGAGGGGAUGAUGAAAGACGGAGCAAUCUGUCACUUGCGGAUGGGCCUGCGGCGCAUUAGCUAGUUGGUGAGGUAACGGCUCACCAAGGCGACGAUGCGUAGCCGACCUGAGAGGGUGAACGGCCACACUGGGACUGAGACACGGCCCAGACUCCUACGGGAGGCAGCAGUAGGGAAUCUUCCGCAAUGGGCGAAAGCCUGACGGAGCAACGCCGCGUGAGUGAUGAAGGUUUUCGGAUCGUAAAGCUCUGUUGCCAGGGAAGAACGUCCGGUAGAGUAACUGCUAUCGGAGUGACGGUACCUGAGAAGAAAGCCCCGGCUAACUACGUGCCAGCAGCCGCGGUAAUACGUAGGGGGCAAGCGUUGUCCGGAAUUAUUGGGCGUAAAGCGCGCGCAGGCGGUCAUUUAAGUCUGGUGUUUAAGGCCAAGGCUCAACCUUGGUUCGCACUGGAAACUGGGUGACUUGAGUGCAGAAGAGGAGAGUGGAAUUCCACGUGUAGCGGUGAAAUGCGUAGAUAUGUGGAGGAACACCAGUGGCGAAGGCGACUCUCUGGGCUGUAACUGACGCUGAGGCGCGAAAGCGUGGGGGAGCAAAC